AUUAAUUUCAAGUUUGAAUAUGACUUCGCAUUCCGAAGCAACUACCUGCGGUUCGUCUUUCGUUCUCGACGACUAUCCCAUUCUUGUACUGCUCAAAGCUACAAGAAGAGAAGUCGCAGGAAGCAAACAUACAUCUCUUUUUACAGACAUGACAUUGAAAUACAAUUAAUCCUUCAAUCACCCUAUAUGAAACAAGUGUUCACGCAAACUAGAACAAAAAGUCGGAGACCUUCUGUGCCUUGGUCCUCUCGUGUGAGGCUCUCUGGGCUUCGCUGGCCGCGGUGAUGGCCGCAAUGUGCUCGAGGUCUGUGUGGACAUCAAUGUCCUUAGCUGGGAUAAACAGCGACAGCUUCUUCUUCUUGUAAAAGACCUCGAUACACUUGAAGAGGAUCAGGAAGCCGGCAAAGAUGAAGAUGGCACCAUAGGUGAAGACGAACGUGUCUCCUUCCCAGCUACCCGGUACCAUAAGGGCGUAACCGCUGCGGAUGUCAGUCACUUUAGGAAGGCUUCUGGGGCGACGACUGACUCACCUGCAAACAAAGGCGAUAGGCGCCCAGCAGAUGACCCACCAGCUCGACAGGGGCUGAAGAUAUGCUCGUACCGGGAGAAAAUCGUUGUUGAGCAGUCCUUGAGAUUUGAGUCCGGCUCGGAAUCGCAUGUCACAAGAUUGGCAGCACCGACAAGUGACAGGAACCAGUUGAGUACCACGACAGUGCCGGAUCCGAGCGAGAGAUAGGCCAAACAUCCGAAAGCCAGAAUGGCCAAGACAGCCACAUAUGGGACACCUUGCUUGUUGAGUCGCUUGAAGACGCUGGGAGCGCCGCCCUUGAGUGCGACUUAGUUUGACUGUGACUCACCAUUUCCAGUGGAAAAGAUACUGACAAGAACAAGCGCGUUGACGAGGUCCGGAAAGAAGGGGAUACCAAGCCUGUUCAUGGCUACAAGGACAUCAGAGGAAUUAGCAGGGUACAAUCAAGCUGAUCACGAAGAUUUGGCUCACAAAUGAUGUAAGGACUCUUGGCGGCGCCAGGAGCACCAGCAGCUAUGGCACCAAGAAGUGCAGGAUCAUUAGAUGGGGCGUUGAUACCGACACAGAAGCCUCCGAGAACGAAGAAGAGGAUGAUACGGUAGACGGUCGAGUUGAAGGCUUUGGGGAGGACGCGUCGAGGGUUUCGAACUUCGCCGCCGAUAAGAGAGAUCCAAUCGGGUCCACCGAGCCUGCGAACGGGCAUGACCAGCAUCAGUGGGAAAGGAACAGAAAGCAGCAUGAACCAGUGGCUCGAAAGUGGCACAUGUGUGGCCAGAUCGCACUUACGCGAAACACGACCAGAGAACGGCGUCCCAGAUGCCUUUGAGCUUGAGGGCACCCGUCUCGCCAGCAAGCGGCCCAGGGUUCUUCCAAUAGCGGAAUCCAAACUUGUCAUGUUGGGGGUUACCGCCGCACAUGGCGAUGAAAGUGUACAUGACCAGCCCGAACUGCAGGAGAAUCUUGGUGAUACUGAUCCAGAAUUCGACUUCACCAAACCAUCGUACCGAGUAGAGUUGGAGCAGGGCGAAGAGCACGAGACCGACCGUGAUAGCGACGGCGGGGUGCAGAGUAAGGGUCCAGUACUCGAUCAUGACGUUGAAUGCGGUUAGCUCGAAACAGACAAGUGAUGCUUGGCAUAAGAGGAACUGCCGCAUAUGGCUUGUCAGAUUGUGUUCCGUAUGUAUCAUUUUUUUUGACACAAUCACUCACGUUCCAUCCGAGGGCGUUACCUAUGGUGGACGAUGCUUAAUGUUACUUCAACUCGUCGGUUAGAAUCAGCAGCUUACCAAAAGCCUUGUCCACAUAUCUUCCGGCGAAAGUGAUGAAGCCUCCGUCAAGGGGAAGAAGCGUGGUCAUUUCGAUUAGGCAGUUGCUCGCGCCAAAGAUCACGGUGGACCAGAUAAUGAUACCGAUGAGGAGACCGAGGGGACCCGCUGCGGUCAAAGGCGAACCGAUACUGACAAAGAGGCCUGAGCCUACGGCACCAGAGAUGGACAAGAGCUGGACAUGUCGCAUACGCAGACCUCUGUAUAUGUUAUCAGCGAAUGUGGCAGGGUAAGCGGAAUCGUCUCACCUGUGAGGGUCAUUGGCCAGAUCAUAAGGCGCGGGGGCAUCCUCCGGAGGAACCUCAUUGACAUCAAGGCUGGUGGUGAGUUCCUUGUCGUGGUCAAUUGAUACCUCAAAGGUGUGCUGCUUGGAAAAGGCGAGGUCAGACGACAUCAUGGGAUGAGUCAUGGAGAGGCAGGCGAAGCUGUCCUGUCCCCACUGCAACAUAUAUAUAUAUAUAGGCUGCAUUUUAUCAUCGAAUGCGGAGUGCAGUUCCCGGGAUAUCCAUCUUGGACAUCGCUUAGACCUCGCUUAGUGAGAUCGGAGUCAUGAGUCUAUCAUCCACGUCUUCGCGGCAGGAAAGCAUCCCGAAGCAUAUCGCGAGAAGCAAGAUACAACAAUCGCAGACCUGGGGUCCAGAUUAGUCCAACUCCGGCCUGGGGUCUCCAGCAAUGUCCGAUAAGGGCAGCGAUAAAUGUUGGAUGCCUUGGCGUUGGCGCCUAAGGGAGGUCGA
rnacentral:sRNA from 1 species